rnacentral:lncRNA from 1 species
UGCUAUGGAGGUUUCAAAAGCUAGCUUUAACUUCCCUAUUCCAAACUGUCUCCACUCUGUUAAAUUUCCUCAUCUAAAGGUUUUUUUUCUUCUUUUUUUUACAUUGAAUAUCUUAAGCCAGCUUUCACGCACCUCUGCAGUUCAGAAAGCUGGUUCAAAAUUAGCCUUCGCAAGAGAUGUUUUACACCCUGCCUAAAAAGUAUUUUGUUAGCCAACUUAAAACCUGGGAGCAGCAAACCAUCAAGCUUUAACUGAUGUAUGCUAGACCAAGCUCUAAGGUACAAGCAACCAGGUUUUUUUUCCAUCUGUACGUUUUUUCUUGAAUGUUUUGCUAAGGUUUGUCUAUAGAAUGAGCACAAAGGAGGAGAGAAAAGAGAUCUGGAGCUGCUUGGUUGAUUGAUUGAAGUGGUACUUUAUGGUGGUCGGUUUGUCCAAUGGGGAAUCGUUUGCCAUUUCCGUGUUGCUUUCUCUGGUUGCUCUUGAAAGAUAGUUCAC